GAUGAAGAACGUAGCGAAAUGCGAUAAGUAAUGUGAAUUGCAGAAUUCAGUGAAUCAUCGAAUCUUUGAACGCACAUUGCGCCCAUUAGCAUUCUAGUGGGCAUGCCUGUUCGAGCGUCAUUUCAACCCUUAAGCCCUGUUGCUUAGCGUUGGGAGCAUACAGUACUGUAGCUCCCCAAAGUUAGUGGCGGAGUCGGUUUCACACUCUAGACGUAGUAAUUUUUUCUCGUCUGUAGUUGAGCCGGUCCCCUGCCGUAAAACACCCAAUUUAUCAAGGUUGACCUCGGAUCAGGUAGGAAUACCCGCUGAACUUAAGCAUAUCAAUAAGCGGAGGA
rnacentral:misc_RNA from 1 species